rnacentral:rRNA from 1 species
AACGAACGCUGGCGGCAGGCUUAACACAUGCAAGUCGAGCGCCCCGCAGGGGGAGCGGCAGACGGGUGAGUAACGCGUGGGAAUCUACCCAUCUCUACGGAAUAACGCAUGGAAACGUGUGCUAAUACCGUAUACGUCCUUCGGGAGAAAGAUUUAUCGGAGACGGAUGAGCCCGCGUUGGAUUAGCUAGUUGGUGGGGUAAAGGCCUACCAAGGCGACGAUCCAUAGCUGGUCUGAGAGGAUGAUCAGCCACACUGGGACUGAGACACGGCCCAGACUCCUACGGGAGGCAGCAGUGGGGAAUAUUGGACAAUGGGCGCAAGCCUGGUCCGGCCAUGCCGCGUGAGUGAUGAAGGCCCUAGGGUUGUAAAGCUCUUUCACCGGUGAAGAUAAUGACGGUAACCGGAGAAGAAGCCCCGGCUAACUUCGUGCCAGCAGCCGCGGUAACAC